UCUCCAUUCAAGAAGAACAAUUUUCUCUAGUCUUCUGACUAUUUAUAGAAAGACCUUUACAUGUGCAAACUAAUUAAUAAAUGGGAUCAAUUUCAAGGUAUUUUUUCUGGUUCAUCACCACUUAAUCAUUCAAUUUAAAAAACAUUUUAAAGGCCAAGUCUAAAAUAGAUUUGCACCCACGCCCCCAGUGUGAAUUUUUCA
rnacentral:lncRNA from 1 species